GAUGAACGCUGGCGGCGUGCUUAACACAUGCAAGUCGAACGGAGAUGUUGUGUGAGCGGAGAGUGCUUGCACUUAACAAUCUUUCAACAUCUUAGUGGCGGACGGGUGAGUAACGCGUGGGUAACCUGCCUCAUACAGGGGGAUAACACUUAGAAAUAGGUGCUAAUACCGCAUAAGCGCACAGUACCGCAUGGUACAGUGUAAAAAACUCCGGUGGUAUGAGAUGGACCCGCGUCUGAUUAGCUAGUUGGUGAGGUAACGGCUCACCAAGGCGACGAUCAGUAGCCGGCCUGAGAGGGUGAACGGCCACAUUGGGACUGAGACACGGCCCAA
rnacentral:rRNA from 1 species